GGCUUGGGAAUCUACCUGGCUCUGCCUCAGCCGGAUCUAAGAGUCUAAAGGUACCUAUCACGAACUCCUAAAGUCUACUGUGGGCCUCCCACUGGCCAAACCCAAGCAGAAGCCAAGGAGGAGUCCUCUUGCUGCCAUACAGGCAUACAGGAAUUUAGCCUCCAAUCCAACACGAGGGAACACAAGGUGUAUCAUGACAAGGUCAACAGAAAUAAAGUAAGUGAAAUCCCUAUUAAUUACACUGUUAUUUGGGGAAAGGUUGAAAAUAAUUUCAGUUGAUAGAGUUCUUGUCUUCAUUUUUCCCAGUUUGUAGAGAUGAACUGCUUUGUUUGCUGCCACAAGUAUCUGAAAUGGAUCGACAAUCUACCAAAAAGAACAGAAAGAAUUAACACGCGGAGCAUCUAGAGAUGCAUGCCUUUUCUCUUGGUAACUCCAAUGUCAGGCUGUUUUACUUCAUCACAACUUCUAUGGACUAUGUUUUCAAAAUUGCUGGGUGCUCAGAAAAUCACAGAAUUUUAAAGCUGCAAGAAACUUAAAUAGUAAACAUUUUUAAAGUAACAUUUGAGAAUAUCACAGGAAAAGCUAUAUUCUAAACAUUUUACGUGUAUUAUUUUAAUCCUUAAAACUACCCUAUGAAAUCAGUAUUGUUCAUAUGCAGUGGGUGAGGAAACCAAAGCAAAGAAUGUCUGGAUUUGAAUCCCAGCUCUGUCACUUACCACUGAGGGGAUUUGGGCAAAUUCCUUAGGUUUAUCUGUUAGAUGCAGAUAAUCAUAGUAGUUACUUCAUAGGGUUGUUGUGAAGAUUGAGUUGGUAUAUGGAAAGGAACAGAGUAAGCACUCUCUAAAGGUUGUCCACCACUUGCUCGAAGUCCUAAUGGCAGAGCUGGAAUUAAAUCCUACGGCCAUGGUUCCAUGGUGUGUGCUCUUAACCACUAUGCACACCUCCUGUGCAGAGAUUUUUUUUCCCCAACU